UUCUCUGGAAGAAUUCCUGCCGCUCACCAGACUCCACGUUCCUCAUGUCUUCUUCCUCCCCAGCACUCUCUCAUUCAUGUCACCUCUUUUCCUCACUGUCCCUCUCUGUUCCCUCGACGGUCAGACCUCUCCUUAACCGCGGAUGCCGAUCUCUGCCACCAGCGCACGGUAGACCAUCAUCCUCCUCCCUUUUGCUGCGUGCCUAGGUCGGACCUCACCUUGCCACCGUGCCGUAAUAUCUCUGGCGCAUGCGCCCAGCACCGCGCACCGGGCGCUCGGCUACUCCUUGCCUCAUCUACACCAGGCCAUGGCUCCCUGAUGUACUCCCCAUUCCGGCCAUCGAUCCCUAGUGUUGGUGCUCCCUUUCUCCUGUGCUCGCUAGGUAUUCGGUGGGACGCCUGAGCCAUGUGAUUGACGUCGUUCUUGUGUAUUCGGAAUUGAUUGAUGUUGGUACGCUAGUUGAUCACGUGAUAUGGAGGACUAGAACCGAGUCGACCACAAGAUGUUGUUAAGCGCGGGUUUCUUCGUAAGGUGAUGCUGAUGGAUAAACUUAAGGAUGGAUGGCCUGAUCAAGUGUCAGGACAAGGAAGAUCAUCAAGAGAUCGUCGUCUAACCAACACUGACUUAGUGUUAUUCCAGGCAAGCCCCGGUGCAUUUGCCACCUCCUUGCUGUUUUAAAAUCUUUAUCACCUUAUAUGAUGCAUUAGGUGAUAGGAGUUGUGUGCUAAACAAUUGAUGCAUUUCCUUCCUUGAAAAUUGAUUACCCUUCCUU